AUUGAACGCUGGCGGCAUGCCUUACACAUGCAAGUCGAACGGUAACAGGUUAAGCUGACGAGUGGCGAACGGGUGAGUAAUGUAUCGGAACGUGCCCAGACGUGGGGGAUAACUGCUCGAAAGAGCAGCUAAUACCGCAUACGACCUGAGGGGGAAAGCGGGGGAUCGCAAGAGCUCGCGCGAUUGGAGCGGCCGAUAUCAGAUUAGGUAGUUGGUGAGGUGAAGGCUCACCAAGCCGACGAUCUGUAGCUGCUCUGAGAGGAGGACCAGCCACACUGGGACUGAGACACGGCCCAGACUCCUACGGGAGGCGGCAGUGGGGAAUUUUGGACAAUGGUCGCAAGCCUGAUCCAGCCAUGCCGCGUGCGGGAAGAAGGCCUUCGGGUUGUAAACCGCUUUUGUCAGUGAAGAAAAGGUUCUGGCUAAUACCUGGCACUCAUGACGGUACCUGAAGAAUAAGCACCGGCUAACUACGUG
rnacentral:rRNA from 1 species